rnacentral:tmRNA from 1 species
GGGGCCGACUGGUUUUGACAGCGGGUUUCAUUAAUCGGUAAGCAUGCCGAGCGCUGGGAUACAGCUCGUUAAUCUCAUGUUUCAAUCUUUUUUAAACGGCGAGAAUAAUUACGCCCUAGCUGCAUAAUCUGAAUUAUAGUAAGAUGUGCCUCGGCCCGCCAGGCGGGCAAGCAGGAAGUCACUCAAAAGCCUUGGUUUGCGGCAUUUGAUUCAGUGGCUUCGUUAAAGUAAACCUAGCCAGGUUAGUGCUUUGAUGACCGGGUGAAAAUCAAUUAAAGCUAAGUCAUGAGCAGGCCGUUUUCAGCCAGUAAAUGAACGAAAAUCCAAAUGAAAACUAAGCAUGUAGAAAGCCCUUUAACGGCACGUUUGGACGGGAGUUCGACUCUCCCCGGCUCCACA